GUAAGUUAGCGUUCAUCACUAUUUAGCGUUAAUGCUGCUGAAAUGCCUGGCUGAGUUUGUGAUAUCUAGGCAGGAAGCUCUCGAAAAUGUAUUCAGUGGAAAACAAUAACACACUUUUCAAAUGGAAGGGAGUGGGACUCCUGUCUUCCCAGAUGGCAGAGAGAUUUCCCGCAUGACUCCACAUGCCGAAGUGUCCUUGGGCAAGACACUGAACCCAAAGUUGCUCCCAAUGGCUCGCUGUCGUAACGUCUUAAUAGAUGUAUGCACCCAUCACCAGUGGCUGCGGAGCAUUAGAAUGGAGACUCGGCGAUGCACCAUCUAUCAUAUGAACCCACUUUGUCCUGUGUCGCUUCAUACAGUAUCUGAUACCUUUGGGUUUGGCUUUUUAUACAUAUACUGUACUGUAUAUCCAUUUUUCCUUUGUAUUAUCGUGUGGUUUAUAAAGUAGAGCUUGUCAGAAUAGAGUGUAUAGCCUUUCGCAUUUGAAAUGAAAUUGUUACCAUUGUGUAAAUGUGUGCAUGUGUGCUUAUGAAGGGUGUGUUUGUCU
ensembl:lncRNA